rnacentral:lncRNA from 1 species
AGAGCUUCACAAACGCUUUGCAGGGGACUGGUAAAGGCAAGUUUGCUCUUACCAUUAAUGGUAAAGGUAAAACACCGCUUGGUGUCACACAUUUCAAGGUAAGAGCUGUGGUGUCACGUGUAUGUGCAACAUCGCUAAGGUUAUCUGAACUGCAUCAGCAACUUCUGAAGCGAGAAAAAAAAGGGGCAUUUCAGGUUAAAACAGCUAUUUUUAACCUUCUGAUACGAAGCAUGACGACCUGCACACCAGACAAGGCACCCACAAGGUGUUUGGCUGUUACUCCAACCCAGCAGGUGGGAAGAGACUUGUGUGUGAGUCAGGAGAUGUCCAAGGCCCAAAGACACCAUUUUAUCUGUGAGGCACUUCUACAAGCACAGGGCACAGCUGACCCCAAGCAUGCCCUCUGUCUUCAAGGACCACACCACUGUCACAUCUAUAUCCUGUACCCAUGGGAAUAUGACCAAAAGUUUAUUCAAAAUCCAGUAGCAGCACUCAGCCGAACACCACCACUUACUGGAACAGGGAAGAAACAGGAUGGGAGGAGAGAGCACAAGAAAUAUGGUUAUAGUUAACUGGAUGUAUUUAUCUUAAUGGGUUUGUUUAUAGUAGAAGGAUGUUAGUCACAUUGUUAACUUGUAAAUCAGUUGUUAAUACAAGAAAAUAUGACACUAUUAAUGUGGCAGAAAUGCCACAAUCUACCACCGAGUAUCCAAAAUUGCACUUGACUCAGGUAGCUGUGCUUUUAUAAUCCUCAGCCAUUACUGAAAGUUUUCAUUCUCGAAGAAGGUUUAGCAACUAAACAAGAGUGUGUUUUUUUUUAAAGGACUAUUUUUGGAGGGAACCAAGAGUCCUUUUGAAAAUCUGAAAGUUAAUUCGUGCUGAUAUAUACACCUUACAGGGAAUAAUGUAGUAGAAGGGAAAAAAAAAUAAUUCUGCACUGCUUUUAAGCCAGAAACAUAACACUGUCAGCUUUAAAAUGGAAAAACUCCCCCACAACCAAGUCAGAGAGCUACCAUUUAAAGGCCUGAGGGAAUCUUAUACCUCUACCACUCUAGAGCAUCCAAGUGACUGGAAAAGAAGUGUACACUUCAGCUGACACCUACCCUCCUAUUCGAAAAGCUACGUGUGCAAUUGAGAAAAUCAUCUCUCUAUUUUUCACUUGAUCGGAGGAGGGUGAGAUAAAAU